rnacentral:rRNA from 1 species
AUCUAAGUGUGAAGCCCACCUCAAGAUGAGAUUUCCCAUUUCUUUAAGAAAGUAAGAUCCCUGAGAGAUGAUCAGGUAGAUAGGUCAGGAGUGGAAGUACAGUGAUGUAUGGAGCGGACUGAUACUAAUCGAUCGAGGACUUAACCAAU